rnacentral:rRNA from 1 species
AAGUACAUGGAAGUUUGAGGCAAUAACAGGUCUGUGAUGCCCUUAUAUGUCCUGGGCUGCACGCGUGUUACACUGAUGCAUACAACAAGUGCCAAGUCAGUCAUGGCAAGGCAAUCUCUAAUAUGCAUCGUGAUGGGGAUUGAUCUUUGCAAUUAUAGAUCAUGAACGAGGAAUUCCUAGUAAGUGCAAGUCAUCAUCUUGCAUUGAUUAUGUGCCUGCCCUUUGUACACACCGCCCGUCGCUCCUACCGAUACCGGGUGGUUCGGUGAACCUUUUAGACCUCUUUAUGAGGAAAGAUAAGUAAAUCAUAUCAC